rnacentral:lncRNA from 1 species
CAUGGCUCUAAAAUUCUUGCACCUGACUCCAAUGAGGAACAUUGGUAUUCCAGCUAGGUAUAAUGUCUAUUCUGAAGUCAGUCUGCGUAUGUCUCUGUUGCCCG